AUCCUACGGGAGGCAGCAGUGGGGAAUAUUGCACAAUGGGGGAAACCCUGAUGCAGCGACGCCGCGUGAGUGAUGAAGUAUUUCGGUAUGUAAAGCUCUAUCAGCAGGGAAGAUAAUGACGGUACCUGACUAAGAAGCUCCGGCUAAAUACGUGCCAGCAGCCGCGGUAAUACGUAUGGAGCAAGCGUUAUCCGGAUUUACUGGGUGUAAAGGGAGCGCAGACGGCAGGGCAAGUCAGCGGUAAAAUUUCGGGGCUCAACCCCGUCGUGCCGUUGAAACUGGCGUUCUUGAGUGAGCGAGAAGUA
rnacentral:rRNA from 1 species